CUUAAGGGGUUAAAGGGACACUCCAAACCCCUAACACACUUUAGCUUGCUGAAAAGCUUUUUGUGUAAAGAGUGUGUCCUCCUCUUUUUCGUUUUGGAAAUAGUGCAGAUUUCAAUAGAAAUUAAAUUUUUUACAAAUUAUACUGGUUACACGAUCUUGGCUUUUCAGCAAACAAUUGGUCCUGUUACUUCCUGGUUUGGUUAGCUUAUUUGCACUGACCUCAAGAGGCAGAAAUUACCCAGAGCACCUGCCUUGGAAAGACUUCUCAUUGAGCUGCAUUGGGAAGUCUGUGAUCGGACAGCCACAGAAAGUCUGGGCAGGGUUAGAACAGGAGAGCUGGCAAAGGCUGCAGACAUGAGACCUGCAGUCUUUGUAAGCUGUUUUUAGAUACAACUCCAAUAAAAAUAUGCAUAAUUAAAUGCACACACGGUUUCAUUUGGGGUACAUCUACUAAACAUAUAUUUAUUUUUUUUUAAAACCACUUUAAUUUUUGUAGUGGAGUGUCUCUUUAAGGUAUUAAGUGACAGUGCCCUUGUAUUAUUUUAGAAAAGUGCAGGUUUCAAGUCAAAGCGGCACUGUCAUGUGGAACUUACCUUUCCCCAAUCGAUUCCUCCUCUUUCCCUCUGUCAGGAUCUAUUCUUUAUUUCUUCCUGUCUGCUCUAGUUUUCUUUAAAACAUAAGACAAAGUAGGGACUAUUUUGUCUUCUGUAGGUUUCCUACGCCUAACCAUCUCUGACCAGUGGAGGAACAAAGUGUGCUCCGGUUCCAGUGGUCAGAGAAAUGAUCCCACAAUUCUUUCCUCCGUGAUCUUGCGAUGCUUCCUGGCCGUAUACCCAAACGUCCUGUCAUUUAGACGCUGGCGAAACUACCGAAUUACGUCCUAAGAGAAUGAGAACAGUUUGUUCAUUCGUGUUAGGACGCAAUUCGGACUUUGUUCGAAUCGGUAUUUUAUUCGAAUGAAUGAAAUUCCGAACCGUUUCAUGCCACGGCUGCAUCUUGCUGCCACUUAGUAGAUAGCUCCCUUAUUCCCACGGUAUACGGGAGCUGUCUACCAAAAGCCAAAUUUACUAAUACUAAGUAAAGAUUACUCAGUAUUAGUCAAUUCUGCCCCUAUUCGCUAUAUCGCGAGUAGGGGCAUGUCUAGUAAACAGUCUGCUCACUCUUGUAAAAAGAAGAAAUUUAGGGUGGGGGCCCUAAAUGAAAAUGGGGGGGGCUAUUGUCCUCCCCCUGGCCCCCACCCAUGAGCAGCGGGUGGGGGUCCUAAAUUAAAAUAAGGAGGGGGGGGACCUAUUUUCCUGCCCCUGCCCCCAGCCAUCAGUGGCGGGUGGGGGCCCUAAAUUACAAUCGGGGGGGGGGAACCUAUUGUCCUGUCCAAACUCAUGGGCGACGAGUGGGGCCUAAUUGUAAAAAUACCCCCCCCCCUGUCCAUGAAUAGGGGUCCCCAAGCCCCUAGUCAUCCCCCUCACCCUAAAAAUAGUGAGGGGGGAGACAAUAAAACUAAAUUCCUGAGAAAAAAAAAAAUCAUACCAUGAGAAGUCUUCUUUUUUCUAAAACCAAAAAAGGCCAAAUAAAAGAACAUAAUACCCGUUGAACUUUAAAAAAAAAAAAAAAAAAUCCUGAGCGCAAAAAAAAAUACGCAGAAAAAAAAAAAAAAACCCAGCCGCUAAAAAUCCAUCCUUACCUGGCGAGGGCACGGUGCAGAAUGAGCUCUGCAGGGCGGGGAAAAGCUUAUAAAACUUUCCCACGCCCUGCAAUUUGACUCAGAGAACUUUGAUCCAACCAAUCAGAUUGCUUUGAGACAUUUUACACAGCAUGGGAAAAUUCCAAAGAACUUUUCCCACUCUGUGUAAAAUGACAAGCACUCUGGUUCGAUUUCAAUUUCCCCCGUUUAGUCGAAUAGACCCCACUCGCGGGCCACAAGUGGGGGCUCAAGCGGGGCACUAUGUCCCCCCUGCUAGUUAAUAGAUGCCCCACCAUGACCCAACAGUUUUCGUUAGGACCAGGGCUGUUUCUACUGUGUUUGUGUUUAGCAGUAAUUUUCCUCUUACUCAUUUACUGUACCAAGACACAUUAUAUACCGUUUUUUGCGCCAUUAAAUGGUCUUUCUAAAGAUACCAUUAUUUUCAUCAUAUCAUAAUUUAUUAUAAAAAUUAUUAUAAAAUAUGACGAAAAAAAUGUAAAACACUUUUUCUAACUUUGACCACCAAAAUCUGUUAUGCAUCUACAACUGCCAAAAAACACCCGUUCUAAAUCGUUUCUAAAUUUUGUCCUGAGUUUAAAAAUACCCAAUGUUAACAUGUUCUUUUUUUUGUGUGUGUGUGUGUGUGCAAGUUAUAGGGCUAUAAAUACAAGUAGGACAUUGCUGUUUAAAAAUAUAUAUUUUUAAAAUGUAUCAAUAAUGACAUUGUAACACUGCUAUCUGUCAUAAAUCUCUGAAUCAAAC